CCCUUAGAUGUUCUCGGCCGCACACGCGCUACACUGAAGGAGGCAGCGUGUACUCCUGGAUCGAAAGAUUUGGGUAACCCGCGAAUCUCCUUCGUGCUAGGGAUUGAGGUUUGCAAUUAUCCUUCAUGAACGAGGAAUUCCCAGUAAGUGCAAGUCAUAAGCUUGCGCUGACUACGUCCCUGCCCUUUGUACACACCGCCCGUCGCUACUACCGAUUGAAUGAUUUAGUGAGGACUUCGGACUGGGACCGAUGCGGCUUUCGGGCUGCGUCGGUAUUCUGGAAAGAUGUCCAAACUGUAUCAUUUAGAGGAAGUAAAAGUCGUAACA
rnacentral:rRNA from 1 species